UGCCAUUGUCUGUAACAUUGGUCAUUUUGACAACGAAAUCGACAUGCUUGGACUUGAGACUUACCCUGGUGUGAAACGUAUCACCAUCAAGCCGCAGACUGAUAGGUGGGUGUUUCCAGAUACCAAGUCUGGCAUCAUUGUUCUAGCUGAGGGUCGUUUGAUGAACUUGGGAUGCGCUACUGGACACCCGAGUUUCGUGAUGUCGUGCUCAUUCACUAACCAGGUGAUUGCACAGCUUGAGCUCUGGAACGAGAAGUCGAGCGGGAAGUAUGAGAAGAAAGUGUAUGUUUUGCCUAAACAUUUGGAUGAGAAGGUAGCUGCACUUCACUUAGGCAAGCUUGGUGCAAGACUCACCAAGCUUAGCAAGGACCAAUCUGACUAUGUCAGCAUACCUAUUGAAGGUCCCUACAAGCCUGUUCACUACAGGUACUGAGAAGAUAAAAGAGUCAAGCUUUGGUUCUUCGUAUGGUAUUAUGAUUAAGCCGUUUAUUGGCAAUUUGUUUGAGUCGGGUUGGGUCUGGUCUGGUCGAGGAAAUAUGAGAUAUUGGUCCUCUGAUGAGUGUGACCAAUUAUUGGUAUGAAUAAGGGGUUGUUUUUGAUUUAUGAGAGGCUAUUUUUUUUGUUUUCUUCUUCUUCUUCUAUUUUUAUAUAUAUCUCAACAUAAAUUAGCUUCUGUUUUACACUAUUGUUAGGUUUAUUUAUGCUUUGUUCUGUUUACUUUUUGAAACAAGAGAGAAAACAAAAUAUUGCAAAGCUAUUUUUGGCUUCAUAUUAUCGGAAAUCUUUUGCUUCUUUGAAGUGUAUACUAUGAAUCUAAGAUGGUCAAUCCAAAAGUUCGACUAUUAACCUUUGAAUCGUGUCUCAUGAAUUUUCUAACACUGAUUUGACACGACUCAAAGACUGAUACUACAGUAAUGGGUGUGUUGUGACCAGCCAGAUAAUACUAUGACAAACCUUGAAAUGAAACAAAUUGGGUGGUGUUUACAAGGUUUUUGGUGAGUGUAAGAAGCCAAAACUCAAAAUUGGCCUCCAGUUACAGAGUCUACUAUACCAAGUCCAUCAUGAUAAGCUAUAUCCAAGAGUUGAUAACAAAUUAUUAUUUUGAACAGAGUUUUUUGAUAAAGAAAACACAUGAGUAUACUGAGUCCUUCUCUGAAUCACACAACACAAACACAAACUUAAGCCAUAACUCAGCUGAAACUCUCUAUGCUUUACACAAAUUGAGUUCAAUGGAGAAUCCAAAAGUCAGGUUCUUGAACUUACAAGAACAACCAAACUCAGCUUUCUAACUAAAUCAGAGAAGCAGCAAGGUCUUUUUUCUGCAACAUUAUGUUACUCAGAUUAAUUGCUUGAUGGAUUCAAACCCAUGAAAGAUCUAAAUCCAUUAUAGAACCAUCUCAAGUCUUCAUAUACCCUGCCAAAAACUUCUAAAUUUGGUUCAUAAGUUACCCUAAACAAGCUUAAAAACCCAAACUUUAUCCUACAAUUUCCACAAUCUUCCAUCUAUUACUCUACUCAACACUUUCAAGAAUAUAAAUCUCAAUUACUUGAACAAUGAUAGCCAAAUAAUUCCAAAAUUACACAUCGGUAAUUAAGAAAUCUAAUGUAAACAACAACAACAACAACAUUACAAAACACAAGAACAAUAAGAUUUCACUUGCCUCACAGAAUAUGAGUUUCAAACUCAGAUGUUCUUAAAGAACACGAAAAAUGCCUCACCAAUGCUUCAUGUCUUGAUGUCGUUAGUGUCUCUAGCACACCUAGUAAUGACGCUACAUCCUCUGUUGUAAGCAUUAGCCUGACCAGACCGACAAGCGUAAUAAGAAGCACCUGGUUUCUGACAAGGAACCAUGUCUCUCCUUAAAGUUUCAUAGCUUAUGUAUCGUUUCCGCAUCAUCAUUACUCUCCGGCUUAUCUCCGACGGCAUCAUCUCCUCUCCUUCUUCUUCCCCGAUUACGCCGUUCCGGUUCAGCAUUGCGUCGAUUUCGCCGUUCACCGACGGAAUCGGAACCGUGACGGAGAUUGAGAGUUGGGUUUGAAGUAAAAGUAUGGAUAAGUAAACGAGAGCUAAGGAUCUCGACAUGUCGGUGUGUGAAAAUUUUGUGAGAUUGUGAUCUUUUUGUUUACGACAACUCCAAGUAGAGCUCUUGGGAGUUAAACCGGUCGGUUUAAGUUUGAAUGAGUUCAACUGAAUUGUAACAUCAAGUAUUUUUUUUUUGGUAAGGGAAUUGUAACAUCAAGUUAAUUAAAUAAAGUUUUUUUUUUUUUCAUUGGGUUCUUAUCCAUUUUUUAAAUAUUUAUUGUGGUCCACUAGUAAACACUUGGUUCCUUUGAGAAUUCACGAUUAAUUGCUAUUUUUCUUUCCAACUACAUUAUCAUUUUGGUUUAUAUCGAAUUUAAUUAGUAACAUUUAUGGUAGAUUUAGUGUUAAUAUCGAAAUGUGGCACCAUCAUUGAUUAGUUUAUGAGCAUUUCUUAAAUUUUCUAUUUCUAAUAUUAAAUUUUUCUUAAUUUAAACUUUAUCAAUGCGAAUCUUUGAAUUAUUUAAAAUUUUUAAGAUUUAUUACUCAUGUUUAUUAUCUUUACAUAGCAAAAAAUAUUUUUUCACACUUUUCGCUAUAAUUUUUCUUGUUAUCUUCUAUAAUCCACUCGUCGUUUCUCGACACCUACUCUCUUUUCACCUUAUGUUAGCUCACAUAUAAUAUACUCGACUAUGAAUUAGUUUUCAAGAUAGAUCGUAUAUAUUUUCUCAUUCAUAUCUUUUAAUACUCAAAUUUUUUUUAUAAGUUACAUGAUCUUUUUAUUAAAGUGAACAUUAGAAAAUCUCGGGAGAUAUUUGCCAUAUAGUUUCUUUGACCAUAUUUCGUGCAUGUAAAAUUGUUUUAUAUACAGCAAAUCUCAUAUAUGGACUCAUUCCUAUUCACAAACAUCGGAUUUCAACAUCAAAUUUUGCACUUUAUCUUGACCGUUUAAAAAAUACAAAAAAUAAAUUCACAUAUAUAAUUUGACAUAUAUUAUAAUUCUAUAUAGUAUUUUUAAUGUUGAUUUUCGUAAAAUUCGUAACUUACGAACUCAUAUAAAUCAUUCUAAUCUUAAAAUACCUUUUUAUAAUCCUUAAUUUUUGCUACUAAUUAAAAAAAUUUUCAAUAUACCAUUACUAUUCUAAUUUUCAAAUAGCAUUCACAAUAUUAUUAUUACACAGUUUCUUAUUCGAUUGGAUUAUUUUAUUUUUAUUUGUGAUGUUUAGGAUAGUUUUUGUUUUAUUUCAAAUCACCUUAAAGUUUUCCGAUUUAUGUUAAAAUUUCCUAAACACCUGAUUAAUAUUUAGUUUUUCUUUUUUAGGUAUUCAUUUGAUUUGUUUUUUAAAAAUCCAACACUUUUUAAUUUAGAAAACAUUGAUAAUAUAUAAAAUUUUAUUAAUGUAACAAUUUAUAUUAUAUUAUAAUAAUAUGUACUCAUUCCGUCUUAUUUAUAAUAAGUAUAAUGAAUUGAUACUUUAACAUUAAUAAAUAUAUUCUUAAUUUUAGAUGUGUAUUUUUCAUAAAUGAAUUAAUUUUUAUUUUCAGUAAAAGCCUUUAAAUUUAGUAUAUUUUUAAGUCUUAUUUUUUUUAUUAUACUAAAUAAUUGUAACUUUUAAUAUUGAUUAUAUAUUAAGUUUCUUUUUCAUAUUUGUAGUCAUUUAAAAAUAUUUACUCAUUAAAUGUUAAGAUAUAAUUAUAUAGUUUUAUAUUCAUGCAUGGCGAGAUUCCUCUACCACUCUAUAAAUGGAGGCUUGAUAAGGGUCUUCACUUCAUAAAAUUCAAAUCAAAGAAAUUGAGUACUUGCACGUAUGGAUAUGGAUGCUGCAAACAGGCUUUCUGCAAUUACUGGGGAAAUGGGGCAACUACAAAAUGAGAUUCAAGAGCGCCGUAGAGUGCUAAACCUCUUUUUGAGGAGUGUUAGAACACUGGAAUCCAAUCUAUAUUUAAAAGCUUCGUAUUUUAUGUUAUAGAUUUAUUUUUUCGUUCUAAUAUUUAAUUUAUUCUUUUGUAAAUUAUUGUUUUUGUUUAAUGAAAUAUAAUAAUAUAUAUUAGAAAAUGUGUAAACUAAUUAUAGUUUUAAUAUUUAUUGUUUUAAUAUAUAAAAUAUAUGGAGCCCAUACAAAUUUAAACUAUGAUGACUUGGAUGAUGAUGUGAAUACCCUAGAUGGAGAGACAACUCUCCCAUUAUAUAUAUAGAUUCCGCUAUUGCUUACCUUUUUUUCUGUUAAAAUACUUUUACCAUUUUAUGUCGUAGUGAUUUUUAAAUUUUUUGUUUCCCUCUUAAUUUUAUAAUCAAUGUCGAUUUAGGAUAAUAAUCUUUCGAUUAAUAAAUAUUUAUAAAAUAUCAAUGUACUAAACAUGUUUUGAAGCGAUUUUAUUAAGGUGGUGUUAUUCAGUGAUGAAUUUUAAUAGAAUUGAAAUCCAACACUAAUCCAGUGUUAUUCAACUAAUGAUUAUAAAUCUAACGUUAAAAUCUGGUGUUAUUAGAUCUUAUACUUCAUUAAAGUUUGGUGUUAUUCAAUGGUGGAGUUAAAGUCAAUUCUUUAAGGUUUGUAAAAUCCAGUGUUAUUCAAAACUAAAAGACUUGUAAAAUCUUUGUAUAUUAAGUCAUUUCAAAUGAAACCUCUUUGGAGUUUCAUGAGUAAAUUAUUAGAAUCAAAAUCCAAGAUAUACUGCAGAGAUUUUGAAAUCCACACAAACAGAUUCUUAAAACCAAUAUCAGAAAACAAAUCUAAACCUUAAAGAAUUGAUUUUAACUCCACUAUUGAAUAACACCCCAUAAGGUUUAGAUUAAAUGUGUGGGGUUAGGGAGGUAAAAAUCAUCAUUAAGGAGUUAGUGUAAAUGCCACCAAACAAGUUCAACAACCCAACUACAUCAGCUGAGCUGUUUCCAUUGACACAUGCUCUAUGUUUUUAUUUUAUUUUUGCUUCACACCAAAGCAUCAAUAAAUUCACGUCAUUGCUCAAACAAAUGAUAAAGCCAUAAUAACACAAUCAGCUGAAAAUUAAAGGGUUUUGAGACCAAUUUGCAGAGCUUAUUUAUCUAAUUUUAUGUUUUUUUAAUAGGAAAAAACAAUUGAUGGAAUCAUUUAUUCAGAUAAUGCAGGUAACUGGGAGAUAGAAAAGUUUGUUAUUCUCUUACUAACAAAUGCAAAUAACACAAGAAUAUAGGAGUCUAUGUUAAUACUAAAUUAGUUAUGGGUUUAAAAUGUAAUUAUUAAUACCCUAAUUAUGUCAUACCUCUGUAUAUAUAUGUGUAUUCUCAUAACCUAUCAAUAUAAAAAUUAUUCAGUUGUUAUAUGGUAUCAGAGCAACGCUCCUAAGACCUAAAUUUUUUUUUCCCAGCCACCAUCUCAAAUCUCAAAUCUGAAAUCUCACCACCAUGUCUGCAAAUGACGCCAUUCCUCUCAACUCAAACACUGUUCUAAACAUCAAUAUGAUGAACACACCAAAAAAAAAAACAUCAAUAUGAUGAAAUGUCUCAAAACUCACAAGCAACAACUAUCUUAUGUGGAAUCUGCAGUUCCACGCUCAUCUCGAUGGACAUGGCCUGGCCGGCCAUCUCGACGGAUCCUUGGUCAUCCCAAGAAAAAUGAAAUUAAGUCUUGGACUCACUUCCUCUGCUUCACUGAGUUCAUUGUUCUCUACUUCUCUUGAUCUUUAUGCUCCAAGACCAAGUCAUCAAGUUGUUUAAAGAAGGAAAAUGAGUUAAAACACAAUAUACUACUGAGACCCAUUAUAAGAAAUUGGGCUUAGUUCCAACUAAUGGCCCAUGAUGAUUUGACCUCUCUGUUUCUCCUCUUCUCCCUCUUUUGAGUUUUCUUCUGCUUUCUCUAUAAUCAGCACGGUCGUCUUCGUCUCAUCUCAGCAAUUUAAAGUUUAAACUCGCUCAGUUGCAUGAUUAAACAAAGGAAGACAUUCUAACACAAACCCAAAAGUUCAUAUAUAUAACCAAAAAGGUUUUUAUAUAUGCUUACCAAUAGCCAAUCUAAACUCGAAGGGAACACCUAACUCUAAAAGUCAAAUCCAAACGAACGAAGUACAAAAACACACCAAUCAUCAAAACAAGAAAAGCUACCAUUAUAUUUAUAGAAUAAAAUCUCUUAAAUCUAUUUGAAAUCUGACCACAGUCAGCGAUCACCACGGCUUGGAAAGCUUCCCGCUAUAAGUUUGAACCUCUUCCAUAAUGCUCUUGAACACAUCCAAUCCUUCAACAACUUGGCCAAACACAACGUGCACGUCGUCGAGUCCAAAACACUUCUUCAUGCAGAUCAUGAACUGAGAAUUGUUGGAGUCUGGACCACCAUUGGACAUAGAGAGUAUACCUGGACCGGUGUGCUGCUUGAUGUAGUUCUCAUCCUCGAAUGUUCCGCCAUAAAUAGAUUCGCCUCCGGAUCCGUCCCCGACAAUGAUGUCUCCUCCACAUAACAUAAAAUUGGGGGACACUAAAAAUAGAGAGCUUUUAGAUGAAAGGUGUGAAGGAGACUGAAAUGAUUUCCAUCUUAUUUCUCUCUUUUGUUUUCGAUUACAUUAAGGUUUCACAUUUAUACUAGACUAACUAGGUUAACUUUGAUCCUCAUCCAUUAGAGCCUCAAACCUAUUGGUCAGCUUAAUAUCUUGACCAAGACAGCUGUCAUUGUUGCUUUUACUUUUGAGCAGCUUCCUGGAGGUUUCCUUCUCAACAAUCUCACAUUUGUCUUCUUGUUCUUUUGCAGUGGACCGUUGGAGAGUUGAAGACUGACUGGGCUCAAGCUUGCUGGGCUUGGUUUGUUCUGUUGGAGACUUGGGCUUCCAGACUGAUGUUAUGUUGUUGGACUCGGGCCUGUUUUCUGAUAAGGGCAUCUUUGGCUCCUGUUUUGUCUUCUUGUUGUCUGAAACCGAGAAACCCUUUUUCUCUUUAGCUAGGUUAGAAUCUUCAGCUUCUUCUUUUGUUGAGAUUGGAUCUCUGUUCUUAAUAGUCCCCCUCAAACUCGGAGUAGGUGGCACAUCGACGCCGAGUUUGAAUCGAAGAGAGUUGAAAGGUCCAGGCGGAAGAGAUUUGGUGAAGAUGUCCGCGAUCUGAAGAGUGUUUGGUAUGUGAGUGACCCGGAGAUUCCCCAAGGCAACCUGCUCCCUUACAUAGUGCCAGUGUGUCUGGAAGUGUUUGCUGCGUUUAUGGAAAGAUGGAUUUGCUGUCAGGUAAACUGCAGAGAGAUUGUCGCAGAACAGCUCCGGUGGACAGUAAAGAGGAAUCUCAAGUUCCUUCAAUACUUUGCAGAUCCAGGUAAUUUCCGAUGCUGCUUCUGAUAAGGCUCUAUAUUCUGCUUCAGUUGAACUCUUUGCUACUGUAGGUUGCUUUUGUGACUGCCAGGAUAUAACAUUGGUGCCCAGAAAGGUACAAAAGCCACCUGUAGAUCGUCGUGUAGAGCCACAACCAGCAUAGUCACUGUCACUGUAAGCUCUCAAUGUGCAGUCUGCAUCUUUGUUGAAAGAAAUACCCAUUGUGAUGGUUCCUUUAAUAUAUCUGAUGAUUCUUUUUAGGAGGUUGAAGUCUGAGACAGUCGGCAUGUGCAUCUUUUGAUAGACAUAGUUUACUGCAAACUGUAUUUCUGGUCUUGUAAGUGUAAGGUACUGCAGCUUCCCAGCUAAGCUCCUGAAAUAUGUUGGAUUGGCAAAGAUUUUAUCUUGAUCUUGUACCUUGUUUAACUGCAGUGGUAGAGGAGUAGGCAUUGGUGCACAGUCUAGCAUUCUAGCUACUGCAAGUAAGUCUUCUGCAUACUUUUGUUGGGAAAGAAAAAGUCCCCCUGAAUGAAACUGUACUUGAAUUCCUAGAAAAUAGCUCAGCUUACCCAAGUCCUUCAUUCUGAACCGUUUAUUGAGCUCCACCAGCAACAUAGUUAGAGCUUCUGAAUUGUUGCCUGUUAUAGCCAUAUCAUCUACAUAGAGUAAAAGUAAAAUAAUAGCUUUGCCUUUGAUGUAGACAAACAGGGAAGGAUCUGACAUGCUGCAGAAGAAACCAAACUCCAAAAGAUAAGUACUGAACUUAUUAAACCAAGCUCUUGGUGCCUGUUUUAAGCCGUGCAGAGCCUUAUGAAGAUGACACACAUAGUCUGGUUUUGCAGGAUCAAUGAAGCCAACAGGUUGAGUCAUAUAUACUGUUUCCUUAAGAUCUCCAUGUAAGAAUGCAUUUUUAACAUCCAUUUGUUUAAUCUCCCAUCCCAUAAUUGUAGCAAGAUGUAAAACUGACCUGACUGUGGCUGUUCUCACUACAGGCUGUAGGUUUCAAGAUAAUCAAUGCCUUCUUCUUGAUCAAACCCCUUAGCCACCAAUCUUGCCUUGAGUUUAUCCAAAGUACCAUCAGCAUUCAAUUUUGUGCGAAAGACCCAUUUACUGCCUAGAAUAUGCAUAUCUUGUGUUCUCGGAAUCAAGGACCAAGUUUCAGCUUCUUGACAGUUCUCAUAUUCUUCAUGCAUUGCUCCAUUCCAACCAGAAUCCUUUAAAGCAGUAGUAACCGUCUUUGGUUCUGGAUAAGCAACUCUUGAGGUAAGCAGAACAUAUUUAGGAUUUGGUUUUCUAAUGCCUGCUUGUGAUCUUGUGACCAUAGGGUGGAUUGAUGUAACUUCUGUUGCAGGUGGAUCAUUAUUUGGAUUUUCAUGUUGAUCAUUGUUUUGUUCAUUGUUGACAGGUUCAGUCUGAGAUGUUGUUGAAGAGUCACUCAGGGAAUUGUCAGCAUUAUCAAUACUGUGCAACAAUGGAAGAGAACUGUUGCCUAUAGGAACAAGAUCAAAGCCUGCCGUACACCCAUAAUUCUCUCCAUGAUGCACAGUGGGUGAUGCUGGAGGACUUGAUGAGAUCAGUGAUGGAGAGUCUUGAGAGGUAAGAAUUGGCUUUACAAUAUUAGCAUCUUCAGAAGUAGUUGAAAUGUUUUCUGACAUCUUGACCGCUUGUUCUUCAGAUUCUUUACUGAUUUGAAGAGGAAGACUCUUGUACCAAGCAGCAAGAAGAGGAGUGAAAGUCAUCUGAGGAGUUGGUGUUAUCCUGUGAAAAGGAAAGUCUUGUUCAUCAAACAACACAUGACGACUUAUAUAAACCCUUCCUGUAGACAAGAGUAAGCACCUGUAACCCUUGUAUUUCUCAUUAUAACCUAGAAAGAUGCACUUCAGAGCCCUUGAAUCAAACUUAUUUCUUGCAUAAUCUCUCAGGGUUGGAUAGCAAGUGCAGCCAAAGACUCUCAAUGAGGUAUAUUCUGGUUUCUGACCAUGUAGAGCUUCAUAAGGACUUUGGUUGGCAACAGGUUGAUGAGGAAGUUUGCUGUAUGACAGGCUUCAACCCAGUACUUGAGAGGUAGCCUGCUUUGACAAAUCAUAGCCAAUCCUAACUCAACCAGGUGUCUAUGCUUUCUCUCUGCUAAUCCAUUUUGUUGUGGAGUAUGUGGGCAAGAAAUCAGUUGUUGAAUGCCAUGUUGUUGUAGGUGACUUGUAAACUUGGUACUUGUAAACUCACCACCACCAUCACACUGAAAACUUGCAAUUUUAUUCUGAAACUGAUUUUCCACUAUAGCUUGAAAGACAAUGAAGGUUUGCAGAAAAUCUGAUUUAUUUUUGAGUGGAUACAACCAACAAAACCGAGAAAAGUUGUCUAUGAAAAUAACAUAGUAUCUAAACCCUUGCACUGACAUUAUUGGAGCAGGUCCCCAUAGGUCACAAUGUAUCUUCUAGAGAGGCCUGGAGGUUGUCGUGCUUGAGAGGGUGAAAGGUAAUCUUGAGCUUUUACCAAACUGACAUGCUUCACACAAUCCUUUGGAGCUCUUAUUAAUGUGAACUGCUUUGAUCUUUGACAGUUGCUGAAGGACUUGGGAGUUUGGAUGCCCUAACCUCAUGUGCCAAACAUCCUCAGAAGCUGAUAGUUGACGUGUAGAGUAGUAGGCAUGAACAGGGGUGUCCUUCAGAACAUAAAGACCCUUAAUGUUGUUUCCCAGAACCAGCACUCUCUUUGUUGCCUUAUCAACCACACGCACAGUGUCACAGUCAAAAUUCACAGAGCAUGGAUAGUCAUUGGUAAGUUUAGAUACUGAAAGUAAUGAUUUUUCAAUAUUUGGGCAAACUAGCACAUCUGUUAGAGGUAGCUUACCUGAGCUUGAAGAGAUGCUGGUUGAACCAGUGUGUGUGAUAGGCAGGAAAUCACCAUUGCCAACCAUGAUUGUGUCUGAUCCUCCAUAUUGUUGUGAAUGUUGCAGGUUGUGAGGAGAAUUUGUGAUGUGUGCUGUUGCACCACUGUCUCCAACCCACUCAUGACCAUUGUGAUCUGUAACAUCAGUGAUUCUCAUAGCAGCUAAGGCAGCAGGUAACUCUUCAUAUUGAUAAAUGUUGUUGAAUCUAUGCCAACAUUUCAGAGCUGGAUGACCUGGUUUUCCACAUAUUUGACACACAAUCUUGUUUUCUGAGUUGUAGGAACCAGUGGAGGAAGAACUCUGAGUUAUUUGCUGUGGGAAGCCUCUUCCUUUUGUAGUGUAGUAGCCUCCUCUUCCACGGGAACCACCAGAUUUACCAUAGGAGUUUCCUCUUCCUCUACCAUUGGAGUUACCAGAAUCAUUUGUGUAAAAGGCCAUAUGAGGUGAGAUCUCCACACCAACAUUGUAGCUCAGAAGUCUGUCAGCAUAACUUUUGAGAUGAGGACUGAUAUCUUCAAAGGUAGGAGCAGGUGACAAAUCUAUCAUUCCUUCUAUAGAGACUUUGAUGGGUUCAUACUCUCUACCUAAGCCUUUUAAUGCAGCAAAAAUCUUUAUCUUUUCAGAGACAGGACUGCCUAUGGAAGCUAGUUGCUCACAAACAUUCUUGAUAUCUCUUAGGUAAUCACUCAUAGACUUAUCUAGCUUUUGAGAUGUUUGUAGUUUACUCUAUAGCUCAAAUAGUCUAGAAGAUGAUACCUUGUUGAAAUGUUUUGCAAGAGCUGACCACAGUUCCUGAGCUGUUUUUGUUCCUGUGACUUCAGCAAGGAUGUCUUCAGAGAGAGAGCCAAGAAGCCAAGCUCUGACGAUUUGAUCUGCUCUAAACCAUUCACUGUAAUCUGGAUUUGGAACUGUUAGAGCCAUUCCACCAACUUGAGGA
rnacentral:lncRNA from 1 species